UGUAUCUGAAGCCUGACGAGGAUGAGAACCUCCGGGGGCAAGAGGUUCGACUUGAGCGAAGCGAGAGAACGUUGCGUCAGCAACGGCCCGCAGGGCGAGCCACGCAGUGGCGAGUCAUCCUCUAUCACCGACCA
rnacentral:sRNA from 2 species